ACGGGAGGCAGCAGUGGGGAAUAUUGCACAAUGGGGGAAACCCUGAUGCAGCGACGCCGCGUGAAGGAAGAAGUAUCUCGGUAUGUAAACUUCUAUCAGCAGGGAAGAUAAUGACGGUACCUGACUAAGAAGCCCCGGCUAACUACGUGCCAGCAGCCGCGGUAAUACGUAGGGGGCAAGCGUUAUCCGGAUUUACUGGGUGUAAAGGGAGCGUAGACGGCUGUGCAAGUCUGGAGUGAAAGGCAGGGGCUCAACCCCUGGACUGCUUUGGAAACUGUAUGGCUUGAGUGCCGGAGGGGUAAGCGGAAUUCCUAGUGUAGCGGUGAAAUGCGUAGAUAUUAGGAGGAACACCAGUGGCGAAGGCGGCUUACUGGACGGUAACUGACGUUGAGGCUCGAAAGCGUGGGGAGCAAACAGGAUUAGAUACCCUGGUA
rnacentral:rRNA from 1 species